AGUGAACGCUGGCGGUAGGCCUAACACAUGCAAGUCGAACGGCAGCACAGUAAGAGCUUGCUCUUACGGGUGGCGAGUGGCGGACGGGUGAGGAAUACAUCGGAAUCUACUUUUUCGUGGGGGAUAACGUAGGGAAACUUACGCUAAUACCGCAUACGACCUACGGGUGAAAGCAGGGGAUCUUCGGACCUUGCGCGAUUGAAUGAGCCGAUGUCGGAUUAGCUAGUUGGCGGGGUAAAGGCCAACCAAGGCGACGAUCCGUAGCUGGUCUGAGAGGAUGAUCAGCCACACUGGAACUGAGACACGGUCCAGACUCCUACGGGAGGCAGCGGUGGGGAAUAUUGGACAAUGGGCGCAAGCCUGAUCCAGCCAUACCGCGUGGGUGCAGAAGGCCUUCGGGUUGUAAAGCCCUUUUGUUGGGAAAGAAAAGCAGCAGGUUAAUACCCCGCUGUUCUGACGGUACCCAAAGAAUAAGCACCGGCUAACUUCGUG
rnacentral:rRNA from 1 species